AUUCUAAACUAACAUCUCGUCCAACUGAAACAAAGCAUUUCCCUCGUGAAUCUGCUACCCCCAAAUUCCUUUUCACUUUUUCUCCAUUUCUCCAUCGCCGAGCACCCCUUCAUUUUUUUUUCUCCUUGUUUCUCUCUUCCUUUCUCUUUCUCUUUCUCUUUCUUUUUCUCUUCCCUCUAGAUUGGCCCGACACUCCCUCUCUCCCAUUCUCUCAUUUUUUUCAUUUUGUUUUCCAGUUCCCUUACUGCUUUCGUUGUCCCAGGGUUGUCGAAGUUGAGAAUCUAGGCUUAGCUAAGGAACGUGGGAAAUGAGCAAUCGAUUUACAACAGAAAAUUGACUGUGGAAACUGGCCCUAGACUACCUCUAUUAGGGUUUCUAGUGUGCUUCACCGAAGACUUGUAGAUGGAUGGCAAAAAGAGGAAUGUGUAUGUACUGGGUAGGAAUGUGUAUGGCUGGAAGAGGAUGAAUGACAGAUUUUUUUAUGAUGGAGCUCAUGAUGAAUUAAGAUAUAUAUAUUUCUUAAGUUAGGAAUGCGUACGUACUAGAUAGGAAUGUAUAUGCAUUCACAUUAUUGGACAUGAUGAACGACGAACGUGUAUGAAUUGCUAUUAGAAGACAAACAUUCCUCACAAAAAUUGUAGAUGUGGUCAGUGUUGGAUAAUUAGGUGGAAAAAAAAAACAAAUAGUUGGGAAACAAUAAAUUAAUUAAAGGUUAAAUUAUUAAUUAACAUAUGGUUAGUAUAAUUGUAAAAUAUGAAAAAUCAAUUAAAAAAAUAAUAUAUAUUAUUAUUUUGGCUAAUAGUUACCUAGUCCAAUGUGGGAUUAUACUUAAAUGACUUUGACUUUAGGCAAAACAUCUAAUUUUAGCUAAAUUUUUACUUUAACUUUGGCUAGACUAAUGCCUCUUAGCCAUUUACCAAAAUAACUAGGGGUGGGCAACGGAGCCCCGCACCCAGCUGCCCCACCUCCGCAUGGGCGGGGCGAGCCUCUAUGCCGCAUCUGCGGGGGCGGAUGGUCCUGCCGGCAUUUGAGGCCUCCAACGGAGGCGAGGGCCAAAGGGGGCCUAGCCUCCCUUAUAAAGAUCUAUAUAUAU